rfam:Ophiophagus hannah scaffold378.1, whole genome shotgun sequence.
GAAUUUUUGAUGUCGCAGAUACUGCAUCAGGAACUGAUUGGAUAAUAAUCAAACACCAUCAGUUCUUAAUGCAUUGCCUUCAGCAUCUAAACA